ensembl:lncRNA
GUUUCAAGAUGUCUUUAAAUGUCUAAAUCAUCCGAAAAACAGUUUUCUUUCUUUCUAGCUGUUUCAAGCAGAGAUUUAAUGCACGAAUACACUUUUUUUUCUGACUCAGAAAUUAUAUUUCCUUUGAGAGUACUGUUUACUGUGAUCAUGGUCAAAAUUUGAAUGAAACAGGUAAAUUAUCUGAGUAUGGAGAAAGCGCUGUUCAAAAUGGAGACAGAAAGACUCAGGGUAAAAUACUUUAUAGUCAUUUGGAGUCCCUGGAAACUUCUGUUGAAGCAAACAAGAGAACAAGGGAGACUGCUAACUAUAUCCCAAGUUACCAUUAAACAUGGCUGCAAGGUUGAAUCCAUUAAGGUUGGAGAUUUUUUUCUUACUGGAAAUUGUAAAUACCAGCUAACUAAAGUUAUCCAGUAUGUUAAGGCUUUUUGUUGAGUUUUAGGAUAGAUUGUUAAUACACAGACACAAAAUCUUAGUUCACUGGUUUUGUAUCUCUUCUCCUUCUCUCUUGUCAUAGUUCUUAAAGGUUAUAAAGGGCAAGGGUUAAACUUUUUAUUUAAUUUUGUGGAAUUUUUUUUUCUUUUUUUUUAAACAAUGACUGCAAUAAAGGUGCAGAAGUGAUUAAUUUUUUCAGUAUUUUUAAUGAUCCUGGGUUUUGUACCCAGUGUUUUCUGAUAUGGACCCAGUUUCCUGUUUGAUCUUCUGAUCUUGCUUUUACCCUAUCCUCCUUUGUUCCCCAUGCCUAGUCUGUGUUCAGUGAUAUCUCCUGUGUUUAGUCAGUUUUCUGUUUGUGUUUACUUUGGCCUGUCAAGCUCACGUGUCUUAGUCUCUGUCUCAGUGUUAGUUUCCUGUCUUAUUUUGAUAGUCUCUUGUCCUGUAUACGUUGUGUUCAGUUUUGCUUCCCUCUUGCUUGUUAAUUGAUUUUGUUCACCUGCACCUUGGGUUCCCCAGCUGUGUCUCUUUCCCUGAUUACCUUAUGUGUAUUUAAGCCCUCAGGUUUCCUUAGCUCUUUGUCGUGUUGUACUGUUUGUUUGCUUUGGUGUUUUGCUGCAGUACUUCCUGGAUUCAAUUAGCCUUGAUUUUCAUUUUUGCUGUGGGUUUGCAGUUGCAACCUAAAUACAGUUCAGCCUUUGGUUCUUCAAGUUAGCCUCCGAGUCUGCAUCUUUGGGUCUGUUUCGUGCCUCACCAUGACAGUACUGAUGCCAUAUGAUUCCACUUUUACUUUCAUUUGAAGGUGGAAUUAUAGAGUUUGGUCGAGCAUUAUUGAUCUGGCAAAGAUCAGUUGUUUUGUGUCAAGUUCAUUCAUCUUCUCACAGAGCUACAGUCAUCUGUCCAAGGUAAUUGGUGUAACAUAUGUGGGUUUUGUUAUAAGUGUUGAAUCGAGGCUCUUUGUUG